AGAGUUUGAUCCUGGCUCAGAAUCAACGCUGGCGGCGUGCCUAACACAUGCAAGUCGAACGAGAAAGGGGAGCAAUCCCUGAGUACAGUGGCGCACGGGUGAGUAACACGUGACUAACCUACCCUGGAGUGGGGAAUAACUGAGGGAAACCUUAGCUAAUACCGCAUAAUACCUACGGGUCAAAGGAGCAAUUCGCUUCAGGAGGGGGGUCGCGGCCGAUUAGCUAGUUGGCGGGGUAAUGGCCCACCAAGGCAAUGAUCGGUAUCCGGCCUGAGAGGGCGCACGGACACACUGGAACUGAAACACGGUCCAGACUCCUACGGGAGGCAGCAGUGGGGAAUUUUGCGCAAUGGGGGAAACCCUGACGCAGCAACGCCGCGUGGAGGAUGAAAUCCCUUGGGAUGUAAACUCCUUUCGAUCGGGACGAUUAUGACGGUACCGG
rnacentral:rRNA from 1 species